UAAGGAAUAUUGGUCAAUGGACGAAAGUCUGAACCAGCCAUCCCGCGUGCAGGAAGAAGGGGCUCUGCCUUGUAAACUGCUUUUGAAUGGGACGAAAGAGCUAUAUGCGUAUAGUGUUGACGGUACCAUUAGAAUAAGCACCGGCUAACUCCGUGCCAGCAGCCGCGGUAAUACGGAGGGUGCAAGCGUUAUCCGGAAUUACUGGGUUUAAAGGGUGCGUAGGCGGUGAUAUAAGUCAGUGGUGAAAGGCCGUAGCUUAACUAUGGGAUUGCCAUUGAUACUGUAUGACUUGAAUCAGGAUGAGGUUGGCGGAAUAUGACAUGUAGUGGUGAAAUACUUAGAUAUGUCAUAGAACACCGAUUGCGAAGGCAGCUCACAAAACUGUAACUGACGCUGAGGCACGAAAGUGCGGG
rnacentral:rRNA from 1 species